CAACGACAACAAUGAAUAUGACGAACAAUAAAACGACCCGUGCUCAUUUGUUCCGUUUUCGGCUCCAUCUCAAUGACAUUCUCUACCCUUUUGAACAGACAGGCAGGACCAUUUUUACCCCGAUAAUCGUGACUGAGCAGGUGGCCCUUAAAAGCCAAAUGAGUUUUACACUUUGCACAAACAUAGCAUCGACUUUUGAGAUGGACGGGAUAGUAGCGACCCAUUGCGAUGAAAGACUUACAACUAAAUACGAAAAGGAAAAAAGGGAAAAGACGUCAAUUGCUCAAUUGAAUAUUUAAAGCAGCGAUAGAAAGAGGAAAGAAUGACGGUGGCGCCAGUAGAUACACUCAACGAAAAGAAGCUAAGCCCAAUUCGUAAAUCUAGAUGUUAGGAGCUGAGGUUUAUUAACUAAAAGAGGUUAUUUAACAAUGCGGAUGGCUUAUGGACUUUGCUGGAAAGCGUCAGACAGCGAAGUCAACGAAUCGUAUGAGCCGUUUUAUUACAAUACACUAAGGAAAGAAGGACGGGGACCUGAAGGAGAAGAGAAACUAGAAUAAAAGGCAAUAAUGUAAAUGACAAAAAAAAUU